rnacentral:lncRNA from 1 species
UGAAAUACAAUCCCUAAAACUAUACAAUACACCAACCACCCCAUUUCAGAACGAACUUCGUACGAACCUGAAUUGUCCGAUUUCAUGGACCAAUAGAUAUCGGAUUGAGUCCAAAACUUGGGGAACAUCAUAAUAUUGUGGGAGGAUUCAUUUGGUGGGUUUUGAGUGAAAUCCAAUCUCCAGAACUAUACAAUACACCAACGACCCCAUUUCAGAACGAACUUCGUACGAACCUGAAUUGUCCAAUUUCAAGGACCAAUCGAUAUCGGAUUGAGUCCAAAACUUGGGGAACAUCAUAAUAUUGUGGGAGGAGUCAUUUGGGUGGGUUUUGAGUGAAAUACAAUCCCUAGAACUAUACAAUACAACCACUCCUUUUCAGAACGAACUUCGUACGAACCUGAAUUGUCCGAUUUCUAGCCCCAAUCGUUGUCGGAUUGAGUCCACAACUUGGGGGAACAACAUAAUAUUGUGGGGAGGAGGUCAUUUGGGUGGGGUUUUUAGUGGAAAUCAAAUCCUCUAGAACUAUACUAUAAAACCAACCACCUCCCUCUUCAGAACGAACUUCGUAUGUGCCUGGAAGUGUUCGGUUUCGUUGCACCAAUCAAUAUCGGGAUUGAGUCCAAAAUUCGGGGAACAUCACAAUAAUUUGGGGGGAGGAAUUUUGGUGGGGUUUUGAGUGAAAUCCAAUCUCUACAACUAUACAAUACACCAACCACCCCAUUUCGGAACGAACUUCAUACGAACCUGAAUUGUCAAAUUUCGUGGACCUAUCGAUAUCGGAUUGAGUCCAAAACUUGGGGAACAUCAUAAUAUUGUGGGAGAGUCAUUUGGCGGGUUUUGAGUGAAAUACAAUCCCUAAAACUAUACAGUACACCAACCACUCCAUUUCAGAACGAACUUCGUACGAGCUUGAAUUGUCAUAUUUCGUAGACUGAUCGAUAUCGGAUUGAGUCCACAACUUGGGGAACAUCAUAACAUUGUGGGAGGAGGCAUUUGGUGGGUUUUGAGUGAAAUACAAUCCCUAGAACUAUACAAUACACCAACCACUCCAUUUCAGAACGAACUUCGUACGAACCUGAAUUGUCCGAUUUCAAGCCCCAAUCGAUAUCGGAUUGAGUCCAAAACUUGGGGAACAUUAUAAUAUUGUGGGAGGAUCCAUUUGGUGGGUUUUGAGUGAAAUACAAUCCCUAGAACUAUACAAUACACCAACCACUCCAUUUCAGAACGAACUUGGUACGAACCUGAAUUGUCCGAUUUCAAGCCCCAAUCGAUAUCGGAUUGAGUCCAAAACUUGGGGAACAUCAUAAUAUUGUGGGAGGAUUCAUUUGGUGGGUUUUGAGUGAAAUCCAAUCUCCAGAACUAUACAAUACACCAACGACCCCAUUUCAGAACGAACUUCGUACGAACCUGAAUUGUCCAAUUUCAAGGACCAAUCGAUAUCGGAUUGAGUCCAAAACUUGGGGAACAUCAUAAUAUUGUGGGAGGAUUCAUUUGGUUGGUUUUGAGUGAAAUCCAAUCUCCAGAACUAUACAAUACACCAACGACCCCAUUUCAGAACGAACUUCGUACGAACCUGAAUUGUCCAAUUUCAAGGACCAAUCGAUAUCGGAUUGAGUCCAAAACUUGGGGAACAUCAUAAUAUUGUGGGAGGAGUCAUUUGGUGGGUUUUGAGUGAAAUACAAUCCCUAGAACUAUACAAUACAACCACUCCAUUUCAGAACGAACUUCGUACGAACCUGAAUUGUCCGAUUUCAAGCCCCAAUCGUUGUCGGAUUGAGUACAAAACUUGGGGAACAACAUAAUAUUGUGCGAGGAGGCAUUUGGUGGGUUUUGAGUGAAAUAUAAUGCCUAGAACUAUACAAUACACGAACCACUCCAUUUCAGAAUGAACUUCGUACGAACCUGAAUUGUCCGAUUUCAUGGACCAAUCUAUAUCUGAUUGAGUCCAAAACUUGGGGAACAUCAUAAUAUUGUGGGAGGAGUCAUUUGGUGGGUUUUGAGUGAAAUGUAAUCCCUAGAACUAUACAAUACACGAACCACUCCGUUGCAGAACGAACUUCGUACGAACCUGAAUUGUCCGAUUUCAAACCACAAUCGAUAUCGGAUUAAGUCCAAAACUUGGGGAACAUCAUAAUAUUGUGAGAGGAGUCAUUUGGUGGGUUUUGAGUGAAAUCCAAUCUCUAGAACUAUAUAAUACACCAACCACCCCAUUUCAGAACGAACGUCGUACAAACCUGAAUUGUCCGAUUUGAAAGACCAAUCGAUAUCGGAUUGAGUCCAAACUUGGGGAACAUCAUAAUAUUGUGGGAGGAGUCAUUUGGUGGGUUUUGAGUGAAAUACAAUCCCUAGAACUAUACAAUACACGAACCACUCCAUUUCAGAGAGAACUUCGUACGUACCUGAAUUGUCCCAUUUCAAGCCCCAAUCGAAAUCGGAUUGAGUCCAAAACUUGGGGAACAUCAUAAUAUUGUGGGAGGAGUCAUUUGGUGGGUUUUGAGUGAAAUCCAAUCUCUAGAACUAUACAAUACACCAACCAACCCAUUUCAGAACGAACGUCGUACGAACCUGAAUUGUCCGAUUUCAAGGACCAAUCGAUAUCGGAUUGAGUCCAAAACUUGGGGAACAUCAUAAUAUGUGGGAGGAGUCAUUUGGUGGGUUUUGAGUGAAAUACAAUCCCUAGAACUAUACAAUACACGAACCACUCCAUUUCAGAACGAACUUCGCACGAACCUGAAUGUAAGAUUUCAAGCCCCAAUCGACAUCGGAUUGAGUCCAAAACUUGGGGAACAUCAUAAUAUUGUGGAAGGAGUCAUUUGGUGGGUUUCGAGUGAAAUACAAUCCCUAGAACUAUACAAUACACCAACUACCCCAUUUCAGAACGAACUUCGUACGAACCUGAAUUGUCCGAUUUCAAGGACCAAUCGACAUCGUAUUGAGUCCAAAACUUGGGGAACAUCAUUAUAUUGUGGGAGGAGUCAUUUGGUGGGUUUUGAGUGAAAUCCAAUCUCUAGAACUAUACAAUACACCAACC